ACUAGGUGGCAGGCCCCACAGGCCUCCCUGAAGUUGAAUUCCCGCUUUUUUGAACUAUCAGGUAGUAGGCCUCAUAAGGCCUCCCUGAAGGCAAAGCCCCAAAAACAGUCAACUGGACUGCCAGUCUGGCUCACUAUCAGCUAUGGUUUUCAGGUAGUAGGCCUCUCUAGGCCUCUCUGUAAGUGAACUUCCAUGCACUGUGUUUAUCAGGUAGUAGGCCUUACUAGGCCUCCCUGAAGUUGUGCUCCCACAUACUGUGGUUGUCAGCUAGUAGGCCUCACCAGGCCUCCCUGGAGUUGAGUUCCAAAUUACUUUCAGUUUCCACUUAAGGUGGUUAUCUGGUAACAGGUAGUAGGCCUCUCUAGGCCUCUCUGUAGGUGAACUCCCACAUAUUGUGGUUAUCAGGUAGUAGGCUUCACCAGGCCUCUCUGAAGGUGAGCUCCCACAUACUGUGGUUGUCAGU